rnacentral:rRNA from 1 species
UACGUAGGGGGCGAGCGUUGUCCGGAUUUAUUGGGCGUAAAGAGCGUGUAGGCGGUUCGGUAAGUCUGUCGUGAAAUCCUGAGGCUCAACCUUGGACGUGCGAUGGAUACUGCCGGGCUAGAGGAUGGUAGAGGCGAGUGGAAUUCCCGGUGUAGCGGUGAAAUGCGCAGAUAUCGGGAGGAACACCAGUAGCGAAGGCGGGUCUCUGGACAGUUCCUGACGCUGAGGCACGAAGGCCAGGGGAGCAAACGGG